AUGGCUGAUGUAGGAAUGAACAUGAUACUCACCUGCUCACCAAAUAUAAGGUUAAAUAUUUGUAAAGAACCACUGAAGCAAACCACAUUCUUUUUAGAAUUCUUCCAUAAAGCAUCUCACUGCUGUUGUAACUUUUCUGAUCAGAGAUACAAUUACAACCAUGAACCACUCAGGGCACUGCUGGAUCUUUAUUCACAUGUGAAGAACUAUGAGUCUCAAACAGGCAGGAGUUUCCUUCCAGCAUUACAGUCAGUUUUCCAGUCAGCACCUGAUGUCUGGAUCAUAGAUCUCUCACAGAGAAUGACCUCUCUCCUUCUGGAAGUGCUGAAACUCCAAACAGAGAAGAAACCAGUAGAACUGAGAGGAUGUACAGAAGAAGAAAGUGAAAUGAUGAGUUUCCUUCAGUGUCUGCCCUACAUCUCACAGCUGAGAUUAAAUAUUUGUAAAGAACCACUGAAGCAAACCACAUUCUUUUUAGAAUUCUUCCAUAAAGCAUCUCACUGCUGUUGUAACUUUUCUGAUCAGAGAUACAAUUACAACCAUGAACCACUCAGGGCACUGCUGGAUCUUUAUUCACAUGUGAAGAACUAUGAGUCUCAAACAGGCAGGAGUUUCCUUCCAGCAUUACAGUCAGUUUUCCAGUCAGCACCUGAUGUCUGGAUCAUAGAUCUCUCACAGAGAAAGACCUCUCUCCUUCUGGAAGUGCUGAAACUCCAAACAGAGAAGAAACCAGUUUAUCUGAAAGGAUUUUCAGAGGAAGAGACUGAAAUGAAGAGUUUCCUUCAGUGUCUGCAAUACAUCUCAGAGCUGGGAUUCUCUAAUCUGAAUGAAAGUGUUCAAAACAGAUAUCUUCUGAAACUCUUCAUUAAUGCAGCAGAGAUUGAGAAACAGACAGGAGAGCAGAUGCUGAAACUGUUAACAUCAGUCUGCAUCUACAGCUCUUUUAAUUAUAAAAUAAUUAAACAGAGUAAUUUCCUGCUGGAUCUCUGCUCACAUGUGAAGAACUAUGAGACUCAAACAGGCAGGAGUUUCCUUCCAGCAUUACAAUCAGUUUUCCAGUCAGCACCUGAUGUCUGGAUCAUAGAUCUCUCACAGAGAAAGAUCUCCAUCCUCCUGGAAGUGUUGAAACUCCAAACAGAGAAGAAACCAGUAGAGCUGAGAGGGUGUUCUGAGAAAGAGAGUGAAAUAAAGAGUUUUCUUCAGUGUCUGCCCUACAUCUCACAGAUGAGGUUUGGGGACCUUUAUAAUCAAGAAAGAAGGAUGUCUGCAGUAAGAUUCCUGCUGAAUCUCAGUGUUGCUACAGUAGAAAGUGACACAGAUACAGGAACAAGAUUCUCAACUCUGUCAUCUAUGUGCAGCUACAAAACCUUCCCUUUUGAGUUUGAUCAGUAUAAUGAUUUUGAUCAGAGUGAUUUCCUGCUGGAUCUUUGCUCAUGUGUGAAGAACUAUGAGACUCAAACAGGCAGGAGUUUCCUUCCAGCAUUCCAGUCAGUAUUCCAGUCACCUGAUGUCUGGAUCAUAGAUCUCUCACAGAGAAUGAUCUCCAUCCUCCUGGAAGUACUGAAACUCCAAACAGAGAAGAAACCAGUAGAGUUGAGAGGAUGUUCAGAGGAAGAAACUGAAGUGAUGAGUUUCCUUCAGUGUCUGCCCUACAUCUCACAGCUGAGUUUUGGGGACAUUUAUAAUCAAGAAAGAAGGAUAUCUGCAGUAAGAUUCCUGCAGAAUCUCAGUGUUGCUACAGUAGAAAGUGAUACAGGAACAAGAUUCCCAACACUUUCAUCUAUGUGCAGCUACAAAACCUUCCCUUUUGAGUGUGAUCAGUAUAAUGCUUUUGAUCAGAGUAAUUUCCUGCUGGAUCUUUAUUCACAUGUGAAGAACUAUGAGACUCAAACAGGCAGGAGUUUCCUUCCAGCAUUCCAGUCAGUAUUCCAGUCACCUGAUGUCUGGAUCAUAGAUCUCUCACAGAGAAUGAUCUCCAUCCUCCUGGAAGUACUGAAACUCCAAACAGUGAAGAAACGGGUAAAUCUGAUAGGAUGUUCAGAGGAAGAGAGUGAAAUGAUGAGUUUCCUUCAGUGUCUGCCCUACAUCUCACAGCUGAGGUUUGAUUACUGGAAUAGCAGUCAUGAAGUGCAGUUUGUUUGGAAACUCUUUAUUAAAGCAGAAGAGAUUGAGACACAGACAGAAGAGCAGAUGCUGAAACUGUUAUCAUCAGUCUGCACCUACAGCUCUUUUCCUUAUGAAAGCACUGACAGAAUUAAACAGAGUAAUUUCCUGCUGGAUUUUUACUCACAUUUGAAGAACUAUGAGACUCAAACAGGCAGGAGUUUCCUUCCAGUAUUACAGUUAGUUUUCCUGUCAGCUGAUGUCUGGUCCAUAGAUCUCUCACAGAGAAAGAGCUCCGUCCUCCUGGAAGUGUUGAAACUCCAAACAGAGAAGAAACCAGUAGAGCUGAGAGGAUGUUCAGAGGAAGAGAGUGAAGUGAUGAGUUUCCUUCUGUGUCUGCCCUACAUCUCACAGCUGAGAUUCGAUCACUGGAAUAGCAGUCAUGCAGUGCAGUUUGUUCUGAAAGUCUUCAUUAAAGCAGCAGAGACUGAGAGACAGACAGGAGAGCAGAUGCUGAAACCGUUAACAUCAGUCUGCACCUACAGCUCUUUUCCUUAUGAAUGGACUGAUAGAAUUAAACAGAUUAAUUUCCUGCUGGAUCUUUACUCACAUGUGGAGAACUAUGAGACUCAAACAAGCAGGAGUUUCCUUCCAGUAUUACAAUCAGUUUUCCAGUCACCUGAUGUCUGGAUCAUAGAUCCCUCACAGAGAAAGAUCUCCCUCAUCCUGGAAGUGUUGAAACUCCAAACAGAGAAGAAACCAGUAGAGCUGAGAGGAUGUUCAAAGGAAGAGAGUGAAAUGAUGAGUGUCCUUCAGUGUCUGCCGUACAUCUCACAGCUGAGGUUUGACUAUUGGAAUAGCAGUCUUGCCAUUCGGAGUGUUUUGAGUCUCUUCAUUAAAGCAGCAGAGACUGAGAGACAGACAGGAGAGCAGAUGCUGAAACUGUUAACAUCAGUCUGCACCUACAGCUCUUUUCCUUAUGAAAUGACUGACAUAAUUAAACAGAGUGAUUUUCUGCUGGAUCUUUACUCAUAUAUGAAGAAUUUUGAGACUCAAACAGGCAGGAGUUUCCUUCCAGUAUUACAAUCAGUUUUCCAGUCAGCACCUGAUGUCUGGUCCAUAGAUCUCUCACAGAGAAAGACCUCUCUCCUUCUGGAAGUGCUGAAACUGCAAACAGAGAAGAAACCAGUAGAACUGAGAGGAUGUACAGAAGAAGAGAGUGAAGUGAUGAGUUUCCUUCAGUGUCUGCCCUACAUCUCACAGCUGAGGUUUGAUCAUUGGAACAACAAUCAUGCAGUGCAGUUUGUUCUGAAAGUCUUCAUUAAAGCAGCAGAAACUGAGACACAGACAGAAGAGCAGAUGCUGAAACUGCUAACAACAGUCUGCACCUACAGCUCUUUCCCAUAUCAGUGGUCUGACAGAAUUAAACAGAGUGAUUUCUUGCUGGAUCUAUACUCACAUGUGAAGAACUAUGAGACUCAAACAGGCAGAAGUUUGCUUCCAGCAUUACAAUCAGUUUUCCAGUCAGCACCUGAUGUCUGGUCCAUAGAUCUCUCACAGAGAAAAAACUCCUCUCUCCUGGAAGUACUGAAACUCCAAACAGAGAAGAAACGAGUAGAACUGAGAGGAUGUUCAGAGGAAGAGAGUGAAGUGAUGAGUUUCCUUCAGUGUCUGCCCUAUAUCUCACAGCUGAGUUGUUCUGAGCUGUGUUUGUUAACACUAGUUAAAGUGGUCCAGUACAGAGAGAAUCCAGAGUUGGUGACUUUACUGUUGGAGGUUCUUGGCUUCUCCCUCAGUCUGGAAGGACAUUUACCCAGUAAAACCUGCAGGUCUGUGGGGAGAUUCUUACGUUUCUCUUCUGACAGACUCAACCUCACUCUAAAACCUAAAGCCGUCUCUCUAAGAGGAACAAGGCUUCUUUUCAGACACAUCAAAAACAUACACACACUNGCAGUUUUUGACUUUAUAUUUAUCAUGGCAUAG
ensembl:lncRNA